CUAGAGGUUUUAUUCAAAACCACUAUCCCAUUCAGAGGCAACCUCU
rfam:Calypte anna contig24908, whole genome shotgun sequence.